rnacentral:rRNA from 1 species
UACGUAGGCAGCGAGCGUUGUUCGGAAUUACUGGGCGUAAAGAGUGUGUAGGCGGUGCUCUAAGUUCGGUGUGAAAUCUCCUGGCUCAACUGGGAGGGUGCGCCGGAAACUGGAGUGCUUGAGCGUGGGAGAGGAAAGCGGAAUUCCUGGUGUAGCGGCGAAAUGCGUAGAUAUCGAGGAGGAACACCUGUGGUGUAGACGGCUUUCUGGACCAUGAGCUGGACGCUGAAGACACGAAAGCGUGGGUAGCAAACAGG